rfam:Picea glauca, whole genome shotgun sequence.
AGGUGCGAUCAUACUAGUGUUAAUGCACCAGAUCCCAUCAGAAUUCUGUAGUAGAGCAUGCUUGGGCUAGAGUAGUACUGGGAUGGGUGACCUAUUGGGAAGUCCUAGUGUUAGACACUCC